rnacentral:misc_RNA from 1 species
UCCGGCUUGUCACCGGCAGUCCCCGAAGGGGAAGAAUCCAUCUCUGGAAACCGUCCUACCAUGUCAAACGCUGGUAAGGUUCUGCGCGUUGCUUCGAAUUAAACCACAUGCUCCACCGCUUGUGCAGGCCCCCGUCAACUUCUUUGAGUUUUAACCUUGCGGCCGUACUCCCCAGGCGGAUGACUUAACGCGUUAGCUGCGCCACCGAAACGCUAAGCGCCCCGACAGCUAGUCAUCAUCGUUUACGGCGUGGACUAC